AUUGAACGCUGGCGGCAGGCCUAACACAUGCAAGUCGAGCGAGCGGCGGACGGGUGAGUAAUGUAUGGGGACUGCCCGCUAGAGGGGGAUAACUAAUGGAAACGGUGGCUAAUAACGCAUAAUGUCGGCUAACCCAGAUGGGAUUAGCUGGUAGGUAAGGUAAUGGCUUACCUAGGCGACGAUCCCUAGCUGGUCUGAGAGGAUGAUCAGCCACACUGGGACUGAGACACGGCCCAGACUCCUACGGAGGCAGCAGUGGGGAAUAUUGCACAAUGGGCGCAAGCCUGAUGCAGCCAUGCCGCGUGUAUGAAGAAGGCCCUAGGGUUGUAAAGUACUUUCAGUCGGGAGGCGUUACCGACAGAAGAAGCACCGGCUAACUCCGUGCCAGCAGCCGCGGUAAUUC
rnacentral:rRNA from 1 species